UCCGAGGCAUUCUUCAGCAGAGACACGGCCUGGGUGUGGCUCAUGCCCUCUGUUGAUGUGCCGCAGAUGGAUACGAUCCGGUCACCCAUCUGCAGGCAGACCGGCGGGGUGCAGACCAUCAGUGCCCCGGCUCCAGCUUUGUACCCGCAGCUGCUGCGUCUGGGCGGCCAGGCCCGUGGGGUGCAUCAUGGCGAUGAAGAUGGGCACGUCCCCUAGGGGGCUCCCUACGCCGCCGGCGAUGCUGAUCCCCAGCGAGUCGCUGGGUCCCUGUAAAGACGCAGCACACGGUCGUGAGGGACUCCGAGGAGCCGCUUAUCUGCAUGUCACAGAGCCCUUGCAGGAGGCUGCUGAUUAGGGGCGGAAAGACUCACGCUCGUUGCUCCUGUGUUUAUCCAAGU